rnacentral:rRNA from 1 species
CAAUAGCGUAUAUUUAAGUUGUUGCAGUUAAAAAGCUCGUAGUUGGAUUUCGGAUGGGAUCUGCCGGUCCGUCUCUGAGAUGUGUACUGGUAGGUCCUAUCUUGUUGUCGGGGACCAGCUCCUGGGCUUCACUGUCCGGGACUGGGAGCCGACGAAGUUACUUUGAGUAAAUUAGAGUGUUCAAAGCAAGCCUACGCUCUGAAUAUAUUAGCAUGGAAUAACACGAUAGGACUCUGGCUUAUCUUGUUGGUCUGUGAGACCAGAGUAAUGAUUAAGAGGGACAGUCGGGGACAUUCGUAUUUCAUUGUCAGAGGUGAAAUUCUUGGAUUUAUGAAAGACGAACUUCUGCGAAAGCAUUUGUCAAGGAUGUUUUCAUUAA